AUGCAAGUCGAACGAGACCUUCGGGUCUAGUGGCGCACGGGUGAGUAACGCGUGGGAAUCUACCUUGUAGUUCGGGAUAACAGUUGGAAACGACUGCUAAUACCGGAUACGCCCUACGGGGGAAAGGUUUACUGCUCCAAGACGAGCCCGCGUCCAAUUAGGUAGUUGGUGGGGUAAAGGCCUACCAAGCCGACGAUUGGUAGCUGGUCUGAGAGGAUGGCCAGCCACACCGGGACUGAGACACGGCCCAGACUCCUACGGGAGGCAGCAGUGGGGAAUAUUGGACAAUGGGGGCAACCCUGAUCCAGCCAUGCCGCGUGAGUGAUGAAGGCCUUAGGGUUGUAAAGCUCUUUCGCCGGUGACGAUGAUGACGGUAACCGGAGAAGAAGCCCCGGCUAACUUCGUGCCAGCAGCCGCGGUAAUACGAAGGGGGCUAGCGUUGUUCGGAAUGACUGGGCGUAAAGCGCACGUAGGCGGCAAGUUUAGUCAGAGGUGAAAUCCCGGGGCUCAACCCCGGAACUGCCUUUGAUACUGGCUAGCUAGAGUCCGGAAGAGGGUGGCGGAAUACCCAGUGUAGAGGUGAAAUUCGUAGAUAUUGGGUAGAACACCAGUGGCGAAGGCGGCCACCUGGUCCGGUACUGACGCUGAGGUGCGAAAGCGU
rnacentral:rRNA from 1 species